UGUCAUAUAAGCUUUCUAGUCAGCCUUUUUUGUUGUAGAUACAUAUUUGUUAAAUGUCAAAAAAUUUAAAAAAAAAUAUUCAUUAUAAUUAAAAAACAUAAAUAUGGCAAAUUUUUGUAAAGUUUUAUCAAAUCAACAAUCUAAAAAAUCCCCUGAAACGCAGUUUAGUUUCCAAGAGCUUUGGAACUUAACUGAAAAAUGGUUCGACGAGCUUCGAAUUCUUGAAGAUAUAUUCCAACGUCAAACGUUCAAAGUGAUCGAACAUGGACUGAAACUGAAUAGUAUCCAAGAUUCUGUAAUGUCAGCAGCCCGAAUGAUAGCCAACGCUAAGGAUAAACUCCGUGAAAUUGAUAAGGAAAUAGCAACUAGUUCGUUUAAUUUAGAUAUCCUGGAACUGUUCACUAACUCUUUGGAGAAUCGCGCACCGGAGCUCAAUCCAAACUCAGUCGACUGUCAGCGUUUUACCAUUUAUCAAACUUUGGUGACCUUAGUAUAUCUUGUCGAUAACAAUCAAGAGGCAAUGGACGAUUUUUUUGAAGAAUAUAAUGUAUACAAGGAGAGCUACCGCAAGAAAAUAAAUUGCAAAUAUGUUCGUUAAUAACCCGCUGAGCUCAAAAAGUGAACAAGUAUCUGAACAAGUUUUCCAACCAAUACGAGUACCUGUGAUAAUUGGAAAUGAUGUGUACAUCGUUACCCAACAAGAUGUUCGAAAUAUAAUCGAAACUCGCCAUAUUUCGUGUUUCAAAUGUCUGAAUGGGUUAAGAGACCUUCAAGACUUUUUCGUCCAUACAAACUCAAAAUAACUCGCAGCAGAACAGCGGCAACUCGUUUCAAAAUAUAUCACAGUACCUGGAUACUAUUAAUAAUGCAACAAAUUUGAUCCAAUGCCACUGUUCACAAA